rnacentral:rRNA from 1 species
AUUGAACGCUGGCGGCAUGCCUAACGCAUGCAAGUCGAGCGGAUGAAGGGAGCUUGCUCCUGGAUUCAGCUGCGGACGGGUGAGUAAUUCCUAGGAAGCUGCCUGGUAGUGGGGAAUAACGUCCGUAAACGGGCGCUAAUACCGCAUACGUCCUUAUGUUGAAAGUGGGGGAUCUUCGGACCUCACGCGAUCAGAUGAGCCUAGGUCGGAUUAGCUAGUUGGUGGGGUAAAGGCCUACCAAGGCGACGAUCCGUAACUGGUCUGAGAGGAUGAUCAGCCACACUGGAACUGAGACACGGUCCAGACUCCUACGGGAGGCAGCAGUGGGGAAUAUUGGACAAUGGGCGAAAGCCUGAUCCAGCCAUGCCGCGUGUGUGAAGAAGGUCUUCGGAUUGUAAAGCACUUUAAGUUGGGAGGAAGGGAAGUAAGUUAAUACCUUGCUGUUUUGACGGUACCAAAAGAAUAAGCACCGGCUAACUUCGUG